UCAUAGCUCAGUGGCAAAGCAUCUGCUUUGAAUGCAGAAGGUGCCAGGUUCAAUCCCAAGCACCUCAA